GCAUAACUGAACCUUUGUACUGGAGGAGCAGCCAGCCCGAAUUUUAUUAACAUCUUCAAGCUCAACAAAAGUUUGCUUGGUCAUAACCCUGAGAAAACCAUGGAGGUGGCAUCUGAAACAUGGGAUUGAUAUGUCUAUACCCCUAUAGCCAUCUGGACAGCUGCACUCCAGGUCUGAUGUGAGGUUCACAGGCUACAGUUGAGAAGGACCAACUUGUGGAGUUUCAAUCUCAGCAGAGAUGAUGCUGCCUGCCUGCUAUAAGAGCACUCAGAAUUUAUGGGACGAGCACUGAGUACACAGUCUAGUACAUUGCCGAUUGCAUCAGCUUCAGAUGCUGUACUAUUUUCAAGAAGAUCAAAUGCAUAUUUGGCUGCACAGUUAUAUCAUCAGACUGCUCCCUCCCCAUGGAGGAUCCAUUGUGUUUUAUCUUGACUAUGAGUCUGGAUAAGGUUGUGUUCUACUGCCCAAGACUGUCUCCCAGACUGCUGCAUGCUCCAUCUUGAUCACACACGGCACAGCUUCUAAUUGAC
rnacentral:lncRNA from 1 species